CCCGCUCAGAAACUCAAAUGAAUUGACGGGGGCCGCACAAGCGGUGGAGCAUGUGGUUAAUUCGAUGAUACGCGAGGAACCUUACCUGGGCUCAAAUGUAUGUUGACGUAUUCUGAAAGGGAUACUUCUUCGGACAAUAUACAAGGUGCUGCAUGGUUGUCGUCAGCUCGUGCCGUGAGGUGUCGGGUUAAGUCCCAUAACGAGCGCAACCCUAUCAUUAGUUGCCAUCAGGUAAGGCUGGGGACUCUAAUGAGACUGCCAUCGUAAGAUGUGAGGAAGGUGGGGAUGACGUCAAAUCAGCACGGCCUUUACGUCCGGGGCGACACACGUGUUACAAUGGGUGGUACAAAGGGCAGCUACCUGGCGACAGGAUGCUAAUCUCGAAAACCGCUCUCAGUUCGGAUCGGAGUCUGCAACUCGACUCCGUGAAGCUGGAUUCGCUAGUAAUCGCGCAUCAGCCACGGCGCGGUGAAUACGUUCCCGGGCCUU
rnacentral:rRNA from 1 species